CCUACGGGGGGCAGCAGUGGGGAAUUUUCCGCAAUGGGCGAAAGCCUGACGGAGCAACGCCGCGUGAGGGAUGAAGGCCUCUGGGCUGUAAACCUCUUUUCUCAAGGAAGAAGAUCUGACGGUACUUGAGGAAUAAGCCACGGCUAAUUCCGUGCCAGCAGCCGCGGUAAUACGGGAGUGGCAAGCGUUAUCCGGAAUUAUUGGGCGUAAAGCGUCCGCAGGCGGUUCUGUAAGUCUGCCGUUAAAGCGUGGAGCUCAACUCCAUUUCGGCGGUGGAAAC
rnacentral:rRNA from 1 species